AGGGCUGUUCACCUUGCCUUUUUCCGCUUUCGAAGGAUCAAUGACCGCCACUAUAGGCACGGCCACUUUCUUCGAUUGAUCUUCUGGUAACGGAUUGCAGAUCCAUCGUAUUCUGCUGAGGUCCAGUUUGGAUUUCCUGGAAAUUGAAGAAAGCUGUUUACAAGGAAAUUGUAAUUGGUAGUUACCGAGGAAGUUGCAAGAAGUUUUAUUGGCACGUGAUGUAUGCUUAAUUUAUAAAUAUCUGCUCAAGGCUCCAUCACGACUGUUUAACGAUGAUUAGCAGCAUACACAAAUUGUUCAAUAGUGAUGCGUGAAACGAGAUUCAUGUUUUCGAAGAGGAUCAACUUGACAUGCUUUUUCUUUGUGAACGGUCAUCUGAUCGAAUGGAAUGUGUUCAUUGAAUUAUUGUCCUUUACCUCGGGAUUUCAAUCAACAGUUGAAGAAAAGGAUGAAUUAUAAAAUUAUACCAUGUUGGGAUUACUAGCUGGCAUUAUGAAGACGUCUUUUUUAAC
rnacentral:lncRNA from 1 species